UCCGAACAGAAGCCUUAAAUACAACUGCAAGCUACUGUAUUUAUUGACUGAGACCUUCCUGCUCUUGUUCUCAGGUUUUCCACAUGGUGCCUCCUUCCUCCAUCUGGGUUUCAGAAUGAGAAAACAGGUGGAACCCAGAUAAGCCAGCUCAGUCCAGCCCAUCCCAGCAGAGCCAUGGCCAACCUGAAGCUAAGCCACAGUCCUUAUGUAAGGAAUGGUUAUCCCACCCAGUUCUGGCCACUGAGACAUGGCAGAAAUCUUCUGGGAUCUACUGGUGAAGAUGUUCUUCCUCCUUGGUCAAAAGAGAGAGUGAGGAGGAAAAGUCUCCCCAAAUGGAAAGAGUCUGGGUCCUUGAUGUUACUGUGAGUUGCUGAAGCAAAGCUGGGACUGGUUUUUUCAGGACUUCUUCGCUGGUGAUUUCAGGCUCCCUCUGGUUCCCAGAACUCUGCACUGGCAGUACUAGCAAAUUUGAGAGGAAAGUGGCACAAGACUUUCUACAAUGAUGGAAAAAAUCUAUGUAUUCUCUUUCCAAUAUGGCAGCCACAGCCAUAUGUGACUGUCGAAAGUUUAAAAGGUGGCCAGUGUGACUAAGGAACUGAAUUUUUAAUAUUAUUUAAUUUUAAAAAACUUACAUUAAAAUGGCCGCAUGAAGCCAGG